AUGGCUAAGGUCAAAUGGCACGGGCAGCAGGAAGGUUUUUGGCUUUCCUCUGUCUACGGACCUGCUGACGAUGCAAGAAAGGAGGCCUUCCUCCUCGAGCUCUCCCGUACUGCACCACCAACCCCAGAGCCAUGGCUGAUAAAUGGGGAUUUCAACCUCAUCUAUGAAGCCCGCGACAAGAACAAUCUAAACCUCAACCGACGACUAAUGGGUAGAUUUAGAUCGGCGAUCGACCACGCGAGACUGAAGGAAAUAAAAUGCAAAAACAGACGCUACACUUGGAGCAAUGAACGUGAUGAUCCAACUCUUGUUAGUAUAGACAAGUUUUUCUGCAACCAAGCAUGGGAGUCAGUCUUCCCCUCCUUCUCGCUAGUAGCUGCAUCCACUGCAACUUCAGACCACUGCCCCCUGAUUUUAGCCGACGCCAGUGCC
rnacentral:rRNA from 1 species